AACGCGAAGAACCUUACCUACUCUUGACAUCCAUGGAAUCUUGUAGAGAUACGAGAGUGCCUUCGGGAACCAUGAGACAGGUGCUGCAUGGCUGUCGUCAGCUCGUGUUGUGAAAUGUUGGGUUAAGUCCCGCAACGAGCGCAACCCUUAUCCUUUGUUGCCAGCGGUCCGGCCGGGAACUCAAAGGAGACUGCCAGUGAUAAACUGGAGGAAGGUGGGGAUGACGUCAAGUCAUCAUGGCCCUUACGACCAGGGCUACACACGUGCUACAAUGGCGCAUACAAAGAGAAGCGACCUCGCGAGAGCAAGCGGACCUCAUAAAGUGCGUCGUAGUCCGGAUUGGAGUCUGCAACUCGACUCCAUGAAGUCGGAAUCGCUAGUAAUCGUGGAUCAGAAUGCCACGGUGAAUACGUUCCCGGGUCUUGUACACACGC
rnacentral:rRNA from 1 species